rnacentral:rRNA from 1 species
GACGAACGCUGGCGGCGUGCCUAAUACAUGCAAGUAGAACGCUGAAGAGAGGAGCUUGCUCUUCUUGGAUGAGUUGCGAACGGGUGAGUAACGCGUAGGUAACCUGCCUUGUAGCGGGGGAUAACUAUUGGAAACGAUAGCUAAUACCGCAUAACAAUGGAUGACACAUGUCAUUUAUUUGAAAGGGGCAAUUGCUCCACUACAAGAUGGACCUGCGUUGUAUUAGCUAGUAGGUGAGGUAAUGGCUCACCUAGGCGACGAUACAUAGCCGACCUGAGAGGGUGGUCGGCCACACUGGGACUGAGACACGGCCCAGACUCCUACGGGAGGCAGCAGUAGGGAAUCUUCGGCAAUGGGGGCAACCCUGACCGAGCAACGCCGCGUGAGUGAAGAAGGGUUUCGGAUCGUAAAGCUCUGUUGUAAGUCAAGAACGGGUGUGAGAGUGGAAAGUUCACACUGUGACGGUAGCUUACCAGAAAGGGACGGCUAGCUACGUG